rnacentral:rRNA from 1 species
AUACGGAGGGUGCAAGCGUUGUCCGGAUUUAUUGGGUUUAAAGGGUGCGUAGGCGGUUUGAUAAGUCAGUGGUGAAAUACUUCAGCUCAACUGGAGAGGUGCCAUUGAAACUGUCAGACUUGAGAAUAGAUGAGGCAGGCGGAAUUUAUGGUGUAGCGGUGAAAUGCAUAGAUACCAUAAAGAACACCGAUAGCGAAGGCAGCUUGCUAGACUAUAUCUGACGCUGAGGCACGAAAGCGUGGGGAGCGAACAGGAUUAGAAACCCCAGUAGUCC